GACGAAGGAUGCAAGCGUUAUCCGGAUUCAUUGGGUUUAAAGGGUGCGUAGGCGGACUUGUAAGUCAGUGGUGAAAUCUCUUCGCUUAACGAAGAAACUGCCAUUGAUACUGCAGGUCUAGAGUAUAGAUGACGUUGGCGGAAUAUGACAUGUAGUGGUGAAAUACUUAGAUAUGUCAUAGAACACCGAUUGCGAAGGCAGCUAACGAAACUAUAACUGACGCUGAGGCUCGAAAAGCGUGGGGGAGCAAACAGG
rnacentral:rRNA from 1 species